GUACUAGCCUCUCUUCUCAGACUUUUAAACAUAGUAACUCAUUUAAUCUUCCCAAUAUCUUCAAACCCAAAUUCCAUUUUACAGGAUGAAGAAACCAAAGUGCAGAGAAGUUUCAAAAUUUGCCUAAGGACAUAGCUAAUGAAUAGCAGGGCUAGGAUUAUGAACCGAGAUAUUCUGGGUCCACAGUCCCUGCCUGUAACCACUAUUCAACUCUGCCUUUACUAGGAACAUGGCAAGUUACUCAUAGAAUCCUAAAACUGUUACAGCUCCUUGAACAUCAUCUAAACUAAUUUUACAAAUAAAAAGACUGAGGCCAGAGAGAGGAAGUGAUUGGCUGAAAGUAACCCAGCAGGAUGGCUCUCCAACCCCAGAUCCUGACUUCACCCACCUCUGCGUGAGCAUGUUAGGGUCUGGAGCAUCUCUGCUGGAGACUGGUCCUGCCUAGUGCAGGCCCCCUCUUGAAAAUACACAGAAUUCUGGAUGUUGCAUACAUGGGAAAUUGUGAACAUGGAGCUCAGAGCUCAGCUUGCAAGAAAGAAGGGGAUGUCCCAAUGCCAGAUACAGAGAUAGUUGGAAAUAUGAGUGGGAAACUCCCAAGCAGAUGCCAGGAUAGCUGCAGCUUUUGUGAAUCACUAAAAACAGUCUUCGAGUUAUCUGGAAUUUAUUUUAGUGCAAGAUGUACAAUGAAUCAUACUCAUUUUUGAAAACCAAUUGCCCCAACACCAUUUGUUAAACUAUCUGGAACCCAUGUAUAUUACUCUACUAAUGAUGUACUCAAAAACUGGAAAAAUGGUGACCACUAUUAGUCGCUCCUAAUUAGAUUCUACAUCACCAUGGUGAUUCUGCUUUUCCGAGGAAAAGACAAAGAAAAUCUGUUUGAAAACCAGAACAUCCAGCUUCCCAGCAUUAUUUGGACAAAAGACUAUUCUUUCUCCAUUGAAUUUUUUUAGCAUGCUUGUCAAAAAUCAAUUGACCAUAGAUGUAUAGAUUUAUUUCUGGACUCUCGAUUCGAUUCCAUGGAUCUAUAUGUCUGCCCUCAUGCCAGUACCACUUCUUCUAUGUUCAUCCUUCUUGUGUUAGUGUUGUUUCAUCUUUCAUGAUUUUACAUGCCAUAUUAAAAACACUGAACUUGGAAUUAAGGAGUUCUUUCAUGGCUAGCAACAUUUGAACUGCUGUUUUCAGGUUCCUUUCCCCCC
rnacentral:lncRNA from 10 species